UCUUUUUUUUAUUCAGUACUGAACUGGAUAUGUAAUUUAUGUUACAGUAUUACUGUAAGCUUACAGUACAAUGGCACGUUCAGUAAUACUGUAUGAAAACUGGAAAAUGUUUUGUUGAAAUGUUCAGUAUUGACUGACUUGAGUACAUAAAAAAAUAUAUAUUUUCAUUAGUCUGCACAAUUGGUGUCAUGGAAACAUUUUUACACUUU